CCUGCCCCGGCUGCUGGCGAGGAGGAAGCUGCGCCCCAGCUGGGACAGCAGCAGGCACGCUCUGCUGAUCUAAAAUGAGAGCAAUUAGGGAGUAAUGAAUUCUCUGGAAGAGCAACUCCUACAGACACUCAGCUCUGCCCUCGCAUCAGCGCCUCCCAGCCCUCAUUCCCAGCAACCAGGCAAGAGCAUAUUGCAUGUAGACCUUUUAAAAACCUGUGUCAGCUUCACUGCUCCUCAGGUCUGGGUGCUAGAACUUUACAGGACAGAUGGAGCUGGGGCUCGAACUCAGGUAAUUGCACUAUGUGUGCUUAACCGAGUGCACCACCGCCUGGACUCUAAGAGUUUAGUCUUUAGUUGAGAAGACAAUGUAUAAGUCAGAUGGUCUGAUGACAAAUGACUGCAUACAAAGAUUCAAUGCAAAAACCGUGCAAAAACAAGCAACUUCUGGGGAGUUCCUGAGGACUGCAAUCAACGGAAAUCAAGUUUAUGGGGAAGAAUGAGUCU